AUUCUACUCACCUCACUGUAAAGGCUGGGGACUGAAAGACAUCCACUGGUCGAGGCAAGUAGAGAAUCAGCUAAUGUAAUUGUUAUAGCUGCCUCUUUGUGCACAGCAGCUAUGACGGUAUACACCUGCUGGGAAUCUGCCCAAAUAUUAAAUCAUUUUAGUUUAUACAAAUAUAUUACUUUAGACUGAUAAUUGUUAGCUCUGGUGCAACUUUCUGGUGUUUCUGUAAGCCUUUACUGAACACAUUUUAAAAUGCGUUACUUCCAUAGAGCUGUAACCACUAUUUAUGCAUUAUUAUUCCAACACCUUACUGUCUUUUUGUUGUAGAAAUUCUGUGGUAAUCCCAAUCAGUGGAAGAUUUCCAGGACUGUUUCAUCAUCAGUGUUGUCUUUAAAACUAAUUAUUUUGGUUUGAAAUCAUUUUUUGUAUUUGUUUUUAAAAUUGCAACUUCUACAGAAUACAUUAUCUUAACAGUGUUUUAUAGUAGGAAGAAGUGUGCGAUUUUGAAAAUGGCAAUGGCAAAGCUAUUGAUAGAAAAGGACUGAUUACUGUCUGCAGCCUGAAUCAAUAGUCCAUGCUCAGUUAUAAUGAGGCCCAAGUGCAACCCACUGUAAGGCCAGGGUGAAAUGUGAUUUCAAUGUCAGAGAAAACAACAGAAAGAGAAAAGGUUUUCCUCCUCGGUUUUGUGUACUGCAGAGACUGAGAUCUGAAAGUGGAAGAAAAUUUUGUGUGUGUUGACUCCUUCCUUUGAUCUGUCCCCAUUUAACUUCCAGACUUGCUUUUCCAUACAGGAAAAGAGCAAGUCCCCAGGGGCAGCAGGGUGGCUGUGGCGGUGCAAUUGCUCUGCAUUCCUCAUGGAUUGGAGAGACUCAGACUCUGGGCUGUGACUGUGAGAAAAUAGGAGCAAACAGUGGUGGUUCCUUGUCUGUAUGCCUCAUUUAAUUCCUUAUUUGUAAGGCCAGGCACACUGUGCUUUGCCUGCAGAGCCAUGUGGCAUGGUGCAUGGGACAUUAACCUUCGUGAUGGGAACGCUAUCAAGUGCCCAAACUGCACUAAAUCCACCACCAGUUGAUGCAAAUGCCUAUGCGAAUCAUGAGCUCUGGGACAGAAUCUGCUCUGGAGAGCCAGCUUAGAGCAUUGGUGUCAUGGGUUGGCACAAGAUCAGUGUUCAGAGAAGUGAGAGAAUUGAAAAUAUCUCCUUAGUUUUAUAUGAACCUGAUGCCUUGUAGGUUACAAAGGACAAGUAGCCAGUUGGUGGUGAUGCUAGCUCUGAAUUUGACUCCAUAUGUUUGAAGCUAAAAUAAGUGUUUUAUAACAAGCCUCAUCCAUUCCUACUAGUGCGUGACCCUAUCAGAGCUGCAUCUUAGACAUAAAUCCUUUUGGAUUCUUUGCCAUCUAAGCCAGGUAUGUUACUGUUCCCCCCACAUCAUUUCCUGAGUGGUUGGUACUGAAUUAAAGACUUGAUUCACAAGGAUGGGAAAAGAAUAGAUGACUGUAGCAGACAUAAUGUUUUUAAGCACAAAUUAGUAACUGGCAUGCCCAAGAGUUUAUAGGAAGUAACUGUUUAUAGUGAUGAAAUAAAUUUGUAUGGUCUCCAAAGCUUUGGCAGAACCAAGCCCCGAAGUCCCUCUGUGUGAAUUUCCCUGACUUGUGUUUGAUUUAGAUUGUAUCUUUCAUUUAAAUAUUACCAGAGGCAAAGAAUUUGUGAGCAAUCCAGGGAAAUUGUCCAUGUGAUUGUUCCCCAUCACUGCUGGAAACUCUUGCUUCUGCUCUGGACAGGCCUGCUAAUGACAGCUUCCAGCUAUGGCAUCUCUCCUGCCUUUGAUCAAACUUUUACUCCCAACCAGAAAUCAGCUCAGCCCACAGCCAUCUCUUUAAGAGACUGAAGAGGCUGAAAUCUUGCAGUCUGUCACCGAAAGGCAUCCUAUUCCAGUUUGUAAGCACUAGUAUGCACAUUUUCCUUAUUUCAUCUGCACCUUAUCUGUUGGUCAGUGCUGCCUGUGCCAGACAUGAACAUGGUAUUCCAGCUGUAAUAACACUAAACCCAAAUAUAGAUGUGAUGCAGCUUAUUUUGCUGAUGCCACAUUUAAGAAACUGUUUAUCCCUCUCAGAUACUAUGAAGUCUGGAAACUCAGGUUCAGCUGUGACUCUCUUGCCAUUUUCAGUAUCUCCGACCCUUCGCCUCUAUGCAUGUAUCCCCUAUUCUAAAACUAUGCUUUAUUAUUCCUACAGUAUGAUUUUUAACUUGGGUCAUACUCAAACGUGCAUUGCUUACCUGAAUGCAAUUUUGCCAACUGGUUUGCUCCACACCAGUGGCAUGUUCUUUAAUUUCCACCUCUUCUCUCUGUCUUGGUGCCAUCUGCAGAACUCAGUAGUAAUCCUUUUGUUUGUUGAUAGUCCUUGAUAAAAUACCAGUUGGCGCAGAUAAUGAACUGACUGAGCAGGGUUACAGGAACAUUUUUUUUCUGUUAAAAAAUUGUUGAUAAGUAGAUGCCACCUUGAAAAUUCACACCGUGCACUAGCCGUCCUAGGGUGGGAAAGGGCUAGAGGGAAAAUAAACAACUUGGACCAAACCCAGCUGAUUACCAGGGUCUGCCAGCAGGCAAAGGGAAGGGGUGCAAGGACUGAGGGAUGGAUAAAUGAUUACAGGGGGACACUGAGCCAAACAUCCCAGGGUGACACCCAGGGAGCAGUACCUGCUGCCUGCGGUGCCCAAGCACCCUUCCAGGAACACUGUGGUGCUGUGUCAGGGAUGAUUAGUUCAACAACCAUUUUAUAUGUGUCACGUUGAGUUUAUAUUGUUCCGGUUUCUUAAUCAACAUGUCCUGCUGCAACAAGUUGAAGGCCUUAAAGAAGUCCAGGAGUUUUACAUCAGCUUCGUUGCAUGUAUCACUCGAUCUUGUAAUCUCCUUGGUGAAAGAUAAGUCAGUUUGAAAGGGUCUUUUCCCAUAAACUCCUGUUGAUUGGCAUUAAUUAUAUCUCCCUCCUUUAAUUCUUUGUUAAUCUAGAUCCGUAUGAGUCAUUCCAUUUUACUGCUGGGACUCGUGUCAGGAGACAAGCCUAUAAAUACUUAGAUCUUUCUCUCUACCUUUUCCAAAAUCUUUCCCAACAUCUGCUUUCCUUCAGAGCUUCCCCACUGCCCAGAAAGUUACUGGGGAUCACACACAGCUGUCGUACUGUGCUUGUGCAUUGAAAACAUCCUUGCUAAUCAGCCUGACAAAGCCAACUGCAUUAUAUAUGCUACUGAAAAAAGGGGUUUUGAACAAUGGAUUAGCUCUACAAUCAUAAACUACCUUUGCAAAAUCAUGGGAAGAAAUAUUUCAUUUGCAUGUUUAUUUUGAGUUUCUGUAUCACAACCUACACAACUAUGCCUACAAAGGGCCUUUUUUAAAUGCAUGGAUGAUUUAAAAAAGGGGAUUUAUAGAAGACCAGCCAGAGGGAUGCACAGCAGAGAUGGGUUUCAUGUACCGUUCCCAGCAUGGUGCUACACAGCACCUUUGUUCUAGUGGUAAACUACCUUUUGCCUUCCAUUCUCCUCAAACAAUGACUGAAACCCAGGAAAUGGACAAACAGUGCCAUACUUAUUACUGUUACUGUAGAUGUGUACUAAUAUAAUCACUUUUUGUUUCUUUGUUUCAGAACAUCAAGAAGAUGACAAAUAGAUAACAUAUUUGGGCUUGUUUAAUAGCAAAAGAUGAGUUGCUGGUUUGAAAAUAUUUGCUAGAAGGUCAAUAGCUUCAAAUUGAAUUGGAAAAAUUCCAGAUUAAUGCUGUUGCCCCAGUACUGAUUAGAAUUCACAUUGCAUAAGACCAUAAAAACACUUUUGGAGAGGGAGAGGAUGUUUUAUCAUCUAAGCAUAGGGCAGUUUUAAAGAUGUGUAGAAGAACAAAAUUAAUUAGGGGUAUUUUAAUAUUAUCAAAAUAAAAAGAAGGAAUUAGGACUGUAUUAAUUUAAUUUCAAACACAUAGGUAAUAACCUCAACUCCUGGGUUCGUCUGCAUCUGUGUUUAUCUGAACAGGUAUCUGAAAUUGCUGGUGAGCACCAGGUUCCUCCUGGCUGUCUCUGCCUGAGCCUUGCUGGCACUCCCUGCAGGGAGGACAUGCACCCAGCUCAGGCUUUGGAGGAACAGGACGUCUUCAUCCCAAUAUAAAACGCCAUUGGAGUGGCCACUGCUGGGAGCAGAGCAGGCAGGCAGCCAUAGGAACCCACUUGCCUGGGUUGUGCUGCACUGGGGGCUCUGCACCCCUGCCCUGCCCUCACUGAAUACCCACUUUGCCAUCUACCUUCUCGCUGGCCUCUUUACUACUCUGGCAACAGAGGGAUAAGUCUUGCUGGCAGGAUAUCCCCUUGCAAAUACAGAAUCUCAUUGAGCUAAUCAAUAAUUCCUGUCAUUGCCUAAAGUUGCUAAAAGUAACAUUCCCUUCCCCAUUUACAGGAGAUGCUGAAUCUGGAGUUGGUACUAUUAACACCUUUAACAUUUCUCCCAUUAAGAUUUUCUGCCCAUAAAAGGCUUUUCAUAGUUUC